GACGAACGCUGGCGGCGUGCUUAACACAUGCAAGUCGAACGGAAAGGCCCUGCUUUUGUGGGGUGCUCGAGUGGCGAACGGGUGAGUAACACGUGAGUAACCUGCCCUUGACUUUGGGAUAACUUCAGGAAACUGGGGCUAAUACCGGAUAGGAGCUCCUGCUGCAUGGUGGGGGUUGGAAAGUUUCGGCGGUUGGGGAUGGACUCGCGGCUUAUCAGCUUGUUGGUGGGGUAGUGGCUUACCAAGGCUUUGACGGGUAGCCGGCCUGAGAGGGUGACCGGCCACAUUGGGACUGAGAUACGGCCCAGACUCCUACGGGAGGCAGCAGUGGGGAAUAUUGCACAAUGGGCGGACGCCUGAUGCAGCAACGCCGCGUGCGGGAUGACGGCCUUCCGGUUGUAAACCGCUUUCGCCUGUGACGACGCGUGAGUGACGGUAAUGGGUAAAGAAGCACCGGCUAACUACGUG
rnacentral:rRNA from 1 species